GCUUCUGUCAGGUGGAUCCCAGUGAACACUAUUUGGAGGCAUGGAUCCCUGAGCCUGCUUCUCUCUGAACCCAGGCAAACACUCCUACGAAGCCCUCCCAACUGCGUCUCAUGCAUCUCUAAUCAAGAAAAUACUCCAAACAGAGUACACAGGGGCCACUCUGCCACUCCUGAAACCAUCACAUCAACAGUUACAAGUUACUGCACCAUGCCUGAGUUCGUCUACUUGGUCUGCUUUCCUCUGUGCCUUACAUUGUGUUUUAUCUACGUAUGUUACUCUUCUGAGGUCACUCCCAUGGAUGAGUGAAACCAGUGACACAGAAAAUAAGGGUUCAUCGGCACUGGAGGCAGGCACAUCAUACCAAAGCUGAGCUAAUCCAUCAGGAGCCAACAUGCCCUGCAGCUGUGUGGAGUUCAGAAGAUAACCUGCAGCAGUCAGUUCUCUCCUACCACAUGGUCUUCAUCGCUGUACAAUGCCGGACAUCUCCACAGCCCACAUGGUCUCCAUCGCUGUACAAUGCCGGACAUCUCCACAGCCCACAUGGUCUUCAUCGCUGUACAAUGCCGGACAUCUCCACAGCCCUUUCAUCUAAAGACUCCUCAUCUGCCAGUGGAGCCAGUCUUGCUGUCUUCUGACCAACGUAGGCAUGUGCCUUUCCCAUACUCUCGCCCUAAAACUCUUUCUAUCACUGUAUCUGAAAUGAAUCUCUUGUAUACAUCACAGAGUUAAGUCAUAUUUUUAAUGCACUCAGAUCAUGUU